UUCACUAAGGAGACGUCACCAUCAAUGUUGCCGAGACAAGGGAGAAGGCACUGACUGCAGAUAACCUCAAAGGGCCCUGAAGGGAUCUAGGACCUAUUUAAAGGUGUCAGAGAGUCAUCCUUGGUUGCCGAGAAGGGCAAGGGAGUGUCACUGAAGCUACUGACGGGAAGUGAUACCUGUCCGAACUGCAGUGGAAUGGUAACAGCGCUGCAUGUGACGAACAUGGGGGGGAAGGAAAUUGAAGGCAUCAGCUGAAGGCAUCAAUUCUGACAUCCCUCUGCCUGCAAAGCUGCUGCCACCACCAAGGAGCUCCCACAAUGUUGCUGCCACCUCACCCAGAAGAAAAAGAAUAUCUCAGUAGUCAGACCACCUCAGCCGUGCUUACAACUGGCU